UUGGCUGGGAUGCACUGUGUAAAGACGUCUUAGUGCAUCUGUGGAAAAUACUUGUUGGUAUAAUAUCGUGGCAUUUCGGAAUUAUUUACGGCCAAAUGAACAACAGUGGGGUAUCUU